AGCAAUACGUGGCAUACGGCUCAGUAACACGUAGUCAACAUGCCCAGGGGACGUGGAUAACCUCGGGAAACUGAGGAUAAACCGCGAUAGGUCAUAAUAUCUGGAAUGAUUUCUGGCUUAAAUCUAUAUGGCCCCUGGAUUGGACUGCGGCCGAUCAGGCUGUUGGUGAGGUAAUGGCCCACCAAACCUAAAACCGGUACGGGCUCUGAGAGGAGAAGCCCGGAGAUGGGCACUGAGACAAGGGCCCAGGCCCUAUGGGGCGCAGCAGGCGCGAAAACUCUGCAAUAAGCGAAAGCUUGACAGGGUUAUUCUGAGUGAUUUCCGCUAAGGAAAUCUUUUGGCACCUCUAAAAAUGGUGCAGAAUAAGGGGUGGGCAAGCCUGGUGUCAGCCGCCGCGGUAAUACCAGCACCCCGAGUGGUCGGGACGAUUAUUGGGCCUAAAGCAUCCGUAGCCGGUUCUACAAGUCUUCCGUUAAAUCCACCUGCUUAACAGAUGGGCUGCGGAGGAUACUAUGGAGCUAGGAGGCGGGAGAGGCAAGCGGUACUUAGUGGGUAGGGGUAAAAUCCGUUGAUCCAUUGAAGACCACCAGUGGCGAAGGCGGCUUGCCAGAACGCACUCGACGGUGAGGGAUGAAAGCUGGGGGAGCAAACCGGAUUAGAUACCCGGGUAGUCCCAGCUGUAAACGAUGCA
rnacentral:rRNA from 1 species